rnacentral:ncRNA from 1 species
AUUGAAAAAGCCAAACCUGUCGCGAGGCAGGGACGGAAAGCCACGGGCCUCUUGUGCGCAUCGCCAACGGCGGCGCAGCGGGAGGCAGCCGGGUUGCCGAAG